rnacentral:sRNA from 1 species
CACGCUAAACAUGGGUAUGGGGAGAGCCUGUGGCUAGGGCGUGGGGAGGGCCUGGUCUCUAGGGUUCCGGGCGUCCUGCGGCAGGGGCUCCUCUCUUCACAUGGCCUCUCUCCACAGAGAAGUACAACUUCCUGGGUAUCUCCAUUGUUGGCCAAAGCAAUGAGCGGGGAGACGGAGGCAUCUACAUUGGCUCCAUCAUGAAGGGUGGGGCUGUGGCGGCCGACGGGCGCAUUGAGCCAGGGGACAUGCUUUUGCAGGUGAAUGACAUGAACUUUGAGAACAUGAGCAAUGAUGACGCCGUGCGGGUGCUGAGGGACAUUGUGCACAAGCCUGGGUGAGUUGCCGAGCAGGUUGCCGGUCCUCAGUCCUCUUUUUUUUUCUCUUUCAUGUUUUGUUUUGGAAUUUUAAUAAGUACUAAGACAGCCGGGCGUGGUGGCUCAAGCCUGUAAACCCAGCACUUUGGGAGGCCCAGAUGGGUGGAUCACCUGAGGUGAGGAGUUCGAGACCAGCCUGACCAAUGUGGUGAAACCGUGUCUCUACU